rnacentral:rRNA from 1 species
AGAGAGAGACAUGCGAGCAUAUCAAUAAGCGGAGGAAAAGAAACUAACAAGGAUUCCCCUAGUAACGGCGAGUGAAGCGGGAAGAGCUCAAAUUUGAAAUCUUAAAGGGUUUCCCUUUACGAAUUGUAGUUUAAAGAAGUGUUUUCUGUUGAGGUUUUGGUAAAAGUUCUUUGGAAUAGGACAUCAUAGAGGGUGAGAAUCCCGUAUUUGACCUUUACUUUCAACUUUGUGAUACACUUUCAAAGAGUCGGAUUGUUUGGGAAUGCAGUCCAAAAUGGGUGGUAAAUUUCAUCUAAAGCUAAAUAUUGGCGAGAGACCGAUAGCGAACAAGUACCGUGAGGGAAAGAUGAAAAGAACUUUGAAAAGAGAGUUAAACAGUACGUGAAAUUGUCAAAAGGGAAGCGUUUGACACCAGUGUUGUUUUUCUGAAAAUCAAUUAAAGAACUGUUUAUGCUAAGUUGUUUAGACUUUACCAGCUAACUGUUUAGUUUUGAGCUUUUCUUUAAUGCACUUUUCAGUUAACAAGUCAACAUCAAUUUCUUUUGCUGUAAAAAAGCUUGAGGAAGGUGGCUUGAGAUUCGUCUUAAGUGUUUAUAGCCUCUUGCCUAUGCAGUCGGAGAGAUUGAGGUCUGCAGCGUAGAUCCUUCGGGGCUAAAUGCAUUUGUGCUAAGUUAUAGCAUUUUAUAGACAACUUGUUGACUAUGAUUUGUCUUGUAGCUUACUCGCUUAUGUUAUUUUACCUACGCUUAGGAUGUUGAGCGCAUGUCUCUCUCU